UCUGGGUUUGAUACAUAGUUAUGACUUCAGUUUGUCAUAACUAUCACUAUAGCCCAAAGAAAAAUAUUUGCCUUCUGAUGACCAUGCUGCUAGAAGACUCUCAGCAUGGACAGAUACGGGGUAUACACUG